CGGCAGAGGCAGCGGUCCUUCGGGAGCGCAGGCGGGCCAGUGAAGGCGUCUCCACCAACAUCUUCCAUGAUCUUUCUGCUGCGAGUCCUGAGAGUAGGUUGGAGCUCCCGCAGCAGCUGGGCGUCUCCUGCGCUCCCGUCCACGAGCCUCCAGUCAGGCGGCAGGUGGAGGAGCAGAAGCGCUACGUGGAGAGUCUGCGGCAGGAAAUUCAGGCUGAGCAGAAACAGGGGGACACAGAUCUGGCAAGGGAGCAGGCGUGCCUGCAACAGAGCCAUGCUGAAGUCCAGCAGUGGAUUUUACAGGAGAAAUGUCGCCU